CCUACGGGUGGCAGCAGUGGGGAAUUUUGGACAAUGGGCGCAAGCCUGAUCCAGCUAUUCCGCGUGUGGGAAGACGGCCUUCGGGUUGUAAACCACUUUUGUAGAGAACGAAAAGUCUGUUGAUAAUACCGAUAGAUGAUUACGGUACUCUCAGAAUAAGCACCGGCUAACUACGUGCCAGCAGCCGCGGUAAUACGUAGGGUGCGAGCGUUAAUCGGAAUUACUGGGCGGAACGGGUGUGCAUGCGGUUUUGCAAGAUUGAUGUGAAAGCCCCGGGCUUAACCUGGGAAAGCCAUACAUUACUGCAAGACUAGAGUGCGUCAGAGGGGGGUGGAAUUCCAAGUGUAGCAGUGAAAUGCGUAGAUAUUUGGAAGAACACCGAUGGCGAAGGCAGCCCCCUGGGACGCAACUGACGCUCAUACACGAAAGCGUGGGGAGCAAACAGGAUUAGAUACCCGGGUAGUC
rnacentral:rRNA from 1 species